CUUAACUGCUGUCGAGGCAUGCAAGGAGGAUAAAGGCCAGAGUUAGGACAAGCAGGCGUGACAGAAAACAUGCUGGAAACCCUGAUUCCCAAGGGAGAGGGUCACCGUGUGAUGGUGGUGCUGGGACCACAUGCUGGAAAGGUGGGACUUCUUCUGAGUCGGGACAGCGUGCAGAGUCAAGCUUUGGUGCAACUUGGGAGAGAGAACCAGGUUGUAGAGCUCCACUAUGAUGCUAUCUGCCAGUACAUGGGUCCCAGUAACUCGGAUGAAGACUGACAUGUGGACCACUGUCAUCCCCCAGGCUGUCACUAGUUGUGUUGCAAUCUGCAAUGGAUGCCAUGGAGAAGAUAGGAGACAAUUGUUCUAUCCUCCUUUGAGGAGCAAGAACAGAGGUGUGAGUUGAUAGACCAGACUAUUUACCAAAAUUUAGAAUAUAAUAAAACCCAUUUUAAAAAGUGGGAAGAUGACAUCAAAACCAGUAUGUGAGCUGUGAAUUCAGGUGGGAACUGAGAUGACUGAGGUGGAGCUACUUCACUUCUUAGCCUCAUUUCCCUGCUCAGGGUGCAGGACAAGUUAAAUUACCUAUCCAAUACAGAGUUCCCUCUUGGAGCAUAGAAAUGAUGAGAUCUGCCGGGCGUUGGUGGCGCACGCCUUUAAUCCCAGCACUCGGGAGGCAGAGGCAGGCGGAUCUCUGUGAGUUCGAGACCAGCCUGGUCUACAGAGCUAGUUCCAGGACGGGCUCCAAAGCCGCAGAGAAACCCUGUCUCGAAAAAACAAAAAAAAACAAAAAAAGAAAUGAUGAGAUCUGUCCUCACACAAACACUAUAGAAUCUCCAGUGCUACAUCUCAGAACAGCUUCCUGAGUUUGGAUCUUGAAUGGCUUUCAAAGACCCAUAUCUUUCUUUUUUUAAGGUUCAUUGUAUUUUUAGUUAUAUUAUGUGUGUGCCUGUGUGAGAGUGUGCAAUUAUGAGUACAGAUGCUUUCAGAGACCAUUAGUGUUAAGUCCCCUGGGAACUGAAGCUACAUGCAAGGAACCAAACUUGGGUCCUUUGAAAGAGCAGCAAGCACUCUUAACCACUGAGCCAUCUCUCUAGCCCAUAUAUCCAUAUGUUAAAGGAUUCUUGCCCAGGAUGAUGCUAGUAGCACUUAUUUUUGACCUUUGAAAGCUAACGGCCUGCUAGAGAUUGCUUAGGCCAUGACUUAGAACCUCCAAAACUGUGAACCAAAAUAGACCUUUCCUCCUCACACUUUAUUUCUGGUAGUUUGUCUGAGUAAGGGAAAACUGCUGCCCCCGCUGAGAACUCUAGUAGGACAUCCGUUAUCCUUGAUCCAGGGCAGACCUCCAGGAAUGUCACUGAGGUGAUGAUGCACUGAAGAGACAUGGAGACUUAUGCCCACAGAUGGGAUGGGUUACUUCUAAUUUCCAAAGAAGCCAGUCACUUUUAGUCCUAAAUUAUUAGCUUGCAGGUUAAAAGCUAUUUCUGACUCAUGCAGUUUCUCUGCUUGCCCUAGGUAAUUAUAUUUUUUUAAAAGGUUAUUGUUGAGAAUCCUGAACAUUUUUCCUGCUUAAUGGUGUAAGAUAAAAAUCAACAAGAGAAGUCAGAGUAUUAGACACUAUUGCUUCUCAAUCAUAUUUGAAGCUUAAGUCAUUCAUGCAAUAAAUGGUAUUUGACUUAGAUCUGGGCCACAGAUAAGAAUACCUAAAUGCCUAUGGCAUACAUUGAAAAGAGUCAAAACACCCCAGAACAGGAUGAUAAGAUAAUUGGGACUAGGGAUGGGGCUUAGUGUUGGUGUAUGUGCCUAACAUAUGUAAAGCCUUGGGUUCCAUCCCCAGUACCACCAGGAAAAGAGAAAUUGCUGACUGUUGAACAAAGGCAAACUGAACUCUCUGGCCAAAAUGAACAAACAUAAAAACGAUGUGAGUCACCAAGUGUGGUUGGUAGCCCAUACCUGUAAUCUAACACUUGAGAGCCGAGACAGGAAGAUUUCCAUGAGUUCUAGGACAGUCUGAGCUUCAUCAAAAGACUCUUUCUUCAAAAACUUAAAAACAGGAAAUGGGCUGGGUGUGGUGGCACACAGCUCUGAUCCUAGCACUCAGUAGGCAUAGUCAGGCAGAUCUCCAUGAGUGUGAGGCCACCUGGUCUACAUAGCAAGUUCCAUAGGGCUACAUAGUGGGUCUCAGAAAAGAGUGUCGCUUUUCCCCUUCCUAUUACCCCUUUUAUGUCUCUUGUCUAAUUGCUACAGCUAAGACUUUGACACUGUAGAAAACAGGUAGAGGAGAGUGGGCAACUUUCCUUAUCUCAUUCCUGAUUUUAGAGGAAAUGCUCAGUAUGUCUCCAUUUAAUAUAAUGUUGGCUAUAAUAACAUGUUGGUAUAUAACCUUUAUUAUUUUGAGGUGUUUUCCAUCUGUUCCUACAGUCUCCAGAGCUUUUAUCACAAAAACUUGUCGAACUUGUCCAAUGUGUUUUAAACAUCAGUUUAAAUAAUUAAUGUAAUUUCUGUCCUUGAGUUUGUUUGUAUUCCAUUUAUUGGUUUAUGUAUGUUGUAACAAUGUUGCCUUUCUAGGAUGAAGCCCAUUUGGUUAUAAUGUGUAAUCUUCUCAGUGUAUACCUGAAUUCAGUUUGUAAGCAUUUUGUUAAGAAUUUUUGCAUCUGUGUUCAUCAAAAAAUUGGUCUGUAUU